rnacentral:rRNA from 1 species
GGAUUAGAUACCCUGGUAGUCCACGCCGUAAACGAUGUCAACUAGCCGUUGGGGAACUUGAUUCUUUAGUGGCGCAGCUAACGCGAUAAGUUGACCGCCUGGGGAGUACGGCCGCAAGGUUAAAACUCAAAUGAAUUGACGGGGGCCCGCACAAGCGGUGGAGCAUGUGGUUUAAUUCGAAGCAACGCGAAGAACCUUACCUGGUCUUGACAUCCUGCGAACUUUCUAGAGAUAGAUUGGUGCCUUCGGGAACGCAGAGACAGGUGCUGCAUGGCUGUCGUCAGCUCGUGCUG